AAGUCGUAACAAGGUAACCGUAGGUGAACCUGCGGUUGGAUCAUUAAAAAAAAUUGAAGCUUCAACCCUUUCAAGGGUAGAAGCGUCAGUGCUCCUCUAACAAGGAGCUUGACUACUCCAAUUUUGUGAACUUGCAACCAAAAAAUGUUUUGAUAGUGGUGAAAGAUUUGGGCAUUACCAGCCCAAGUUUUUCCCUUCUUGAAAAAAUUGUUAACCCUGAAGAAAUAACUUGUCUUUACCGUUUUUUAUAAAUAAAAAUUAAUCAACUUUUGACAACGGAUCUCUAGGCUCUC
rnacentral:misc_RNA from 1 species